GACGAACGCUGGCGGCGUGCUUAACACAUGCAAGUCGAACGGAAAGGCCCUGCUUUUGUGGUGUGCUCGAGUGGCGAACGGGUGAGUAACACGUGAGUAACCUGCCCUUGACUUUGGGAUAACUUCAGGAAACUGGGGCUAAUACCGGAUAGGAGCUCCUGCUGCAUGGUGGGGGUUGGAAAGUUUCGGCGGUUGGGGAUGGACUCGCGGCUUAUCAGCUUGUUGGUGGGGUAGUGGCUUACCAAGGCUUUGACGGGUAGCCGGCCUGAGAGGGUGACCGGCCACAUUGGGACUGAGAUACGGCCCAGACUCCUACGGGAGGCAGCAGUGGGGAAUAUUGCACAAUGGGCGGAAGCCUGAGGCAGCAACGCCGCGUGCGGGAUGACGGCCUUCGGGUUGUAAACCGCUUUCGCCUGUGACGAAGCGUGAGUGACGGUAAUGGGUAAAGAAGCACCGGCUAACUACGUG
rnacentral:rRNA from 1 species